ACCAACAUCACAAAUAUAAGGAAGAUGUUCAGCUCAUGGCCGACAUGCGUUUAGAAGCCUACAGAUUUUCCAUAUCAUGGUCAAGAAUUAUUCCAGGUUGAUCAAGUGGUGGAAAUUUAAUGAGUAAUAUGAUGAGUGAAGGACAAUCAAUUCGGAAGCCACCAUAUUUUAAUGGCAGAAAAUACGAUGAAUGGAAGAGGCGAAUGAUAGUAUUCAUUACAUCUAUUGACUACAAGCUUUGGCUUGUGAUUAAAAAUGGACCCACAAUUCCAGCAAAGGUAGCAGAUAAUGAAGAAGUGCAGAAGAGUGAAGAUGAAUACUUAAACCAAUGAUCUCAGAAAAGAUUAUGAGUAGCAGCGUAUAACAAUCUUCAUAUUGUUGAAUUCUCUUGUCUAGAUAAACAUCUGCAAUUAGAUGCUCAGUUGUGUUUACGAGGAAAGAAGAAAACAUCAGGGAAAAGGAUCACUGGUUUUCAGGUGAAUGUCCAAACCUCUGUGAUGGUCAAAGAAAAUAAACAAGAAGAAAAAGAGUCAAUAGCUUUGAAAUGGACAUGGAGUGCAAGUUUCCUCAAGAUGGUUCACCACCAAAGUCUCUUAGGUACAUAGGAAGUAGGGUUGCUGACAUCCAUCGAACAUUGCUUUAUGGUGGUAUCUUCAUGUACCCUGCUGAUAUAAAGAGUCCACAUGGAAAGCACAAAAGAAUGUGUUCGAUUUGGGAGCAUUUGUUGGUGACCUAGCUUUGGAAGAGGAUCCGAGCAUAUUUUCUUCCCUUUCUACCACACAUGCUUGGCAAUGGAGUUUGAGCACCCAACUGCCGCACCGCUCAACUCCGCCAUGACCUACGACGAGGCCUUCAUGGUGCGCAGCAAGAGCUUCGUCAAGGCCUUGCAGGGUGCCAAUUCAGCAUAAUGAAUUAUGAGCAUGGAGGGUUCCAAUUCAGCAAAAUGAAUUGUGAGCAUGGAGGCCUGCAAUGCUCAUGGACUCGGACUUUAUUGUGUACCUUUAUAUGAUAAAUUGGAAUACGAUAAACUAUCUCAAGAACAUGAGCCCUCUAUGUCGAUUGGAUGUUGCCUCGAAUUCUGAGCUUGUUCAUCUUUGAGUGGCUCACAACUAUUUUGAAAUUGGAGACUUCCUGGGAUUGAAUGACAGUUCAUCUGAAACAUCCUUGAUAGAAGAAAGAAACGCCCAUGCCCUAGCCAUAAUCCCUAUCGAAAUUGGUGAGCUUUUAUUUAAUGGCUUUCAAAAUUCUACAAUUUAGUAAGGUGUGGUGCAUAAUAUGAAGAAAUGAGACACCAACACCAAGGACAAAAAUGAUGGCGAACACGGCAAGGACAUCGAACAAGAGAACCAAGAGGAUAGUGUCGGUGAUGGGCAAGAACGACGGCCACAAACAAAUCGGAAAGAGGUGGUGCAAUAAAAGGGUGGGAGAAUGGGAGGGCAUAUAAGACAUUUCAAAACCUUUCGGUUAAAGCAGCCCAACCAGUUAGUUCAAGGUUGCCGUUUUAUAGUCUUCGUCAAGUGCACCAUUUUAGCGGUCUUGACUCCAACUACGGGCUGCUUGCUCUGACGUGAUCUUCACUAAGAAAUCCCUACUCGUAGGGGCACCUUCACGUUUCUUGGUUGGGGCUCCAGAUCUGGACCGGUGUGCUUCCCUUUGGAAUCACUCUCCGUGGAAGAGAUAUGAAGAGCAAAACCCUAAGUCUUAAAUCGUCAUUUCCGUUAUUUAAUCGAAACAAAGAUUCGGGACAAAGAAGGAAUUCCCCCGGACUAGUAGAGGUUGAUCUUUGCCCGGAAACAGCUGGAGGAUGGCUGUACUCUCGCCGAUACAACAUCUAAAAAGAUACUUUAAUCUGGAGAGAGCUGAGUACAUCAGGCCAAUUGUUGCCUCCUCGAGCUGGUCAUUCAACUGUUUCUUUUGGCAAGAACUUGUUCGUUUUUGGGGGAUUUUCAGAUGCCCAAAAUCUCUAUAAUGACCUUUAUAUGCUUGAUAUUGGGUUCUAACUGAGACUCAGCUCAAAAGUGCUUAUAUUGUGUUGUUGGAAGAGAAUAGAAGAUAAGCAGCUUCAAAAUGGGAGAGGGAUCUGUUGAACUUAAUGCUAUUAUAAAGGAAGCUGUUGAUCUGGAGAACAUUCCUCUUGAAGAGGUUUUUGAUAAUCUCAAAUGCACAAGAGAAGGUUUAACCUCUCAGCAAGUACAAGAGAGGCUAGACUUGUUUGGGUACAAUAAGCUUGAAGAAAAGAAGAUUUAUUAUUAUAUCUCAUCGAAGAUGGUUGCAAUCUGAAGAUAUUAUACUGGUUAAAUUUUUACUCGGAUGUUAUCGAUUGCUCUCAUGGUGUGCCAUUUUGGAUGCCUCAUUCAAUUUGUAAAGAAAAAUCUACUGGGAUUAAUAUGAGAUUUUCCACAGAAAGAAGUUCCAGUGAAUUACAGACAGUGGCUUUUGAGAUGCUCAGUGAAGCAAGCUCAAGAGCUGGGUCAUCCUUCCCUGUUGACAUUUGGAGAUCAAUUCUUGAGGUGUUCAGGAAAACCAUAGACGUCUUGGCAUUAAAGCCCCCUGUUGUGGAAGAUAGUGCUAUGUCCAGGUAAUCUGUAUGUUGGAGGAACUUAUUAGAAAUCAAUGAUGAAACUCAUACGUGGUUCAUACUUUGGCCAUAUGUCAUUAAUUUUAUACUUUGCUGCAAGUCACAUGCAUCUUUUCUGUGCUGUCUACAUCUUAUCCUCAUUGAUCCAAAAUGUGCAGUUUCGGAUCAUGUGUCAGUUUUUGUUGCUGUUCUGCGAAUGUUCUUAGUUUAUGGCCUUUCAGGUAGAACACCAGGUACUUAUUUGCUUGUUGGUCACAAACAGAUGGAGCUUAGUAGUGUGAGUCCCAAGGCAAGCAGGGAACUACUAAAAAAAUCUUAUCAUGAUUCAGAGUUUAGUGAUGGAGAUGGAUCAGCUAAUGAUAGUGGUAGAGUGCAGAACUCAAGGGCUAGAGUAGCUGCCAUAACUUGCAUACAGGAAAUUGAGUGAGCAGGCAACUGUGAUUGUUUAAAACUGCCACAUGUAGAUUUCAGUUGUUGUCCAAAUUGAUUGGUUGAACUAUUUGAUUUGUUCUGUUUUGCUUGUGAAAAUUGUUACUGCACACGCUGUUGCAUUUAUCUUUCAUUGAGAAAUUCAAUCCCAGCAAUCUUUCACUCUUUUAUUUGAUCUAAAUGGUCCAUUGAUUUUGAAUUAGCUUACAACUUUGUUUUUAGCAGUUUAGAUAAGUCACUUCCCACAUUAUACAUUGCUUGGUAUUACUGGUUUAUGAACCAGAUGCAAAAACCUUUUGAUAAACAGUGUUCAGUUGAGAUAUAGUAAAUUGCUGUCAUGGUUCAAUGUGCAGAACUUCAAAGUGUUAUUGCUAGUGUGUCUCAAACAGUGUGCAAUUUGUGUUUGCUGUGAUCUAUUUGGGAAUAUUUGUUGUUUUUGGUUUGGUGCAGUGUAAAAGAUGAACGUGAGCAUGAACCUGUGAUACAAACAGUAGCCUUAGCACUUUUGAAUUAAUGACAAAUAUCAAGCAUUUGCAGCCAAGAAAAAGGGAGUUUCUUUUAUAUCAAAUGCUUCUUAUAUGCUUAAAUUGUGUUGUAUGGCCUGUAAUUGAUAGGAUUAUAAUUGUUUGAUCUGCUGAAUUAGUGGAAUUGUUUGUGCACUAUCAGUUGAGAUAUUAUUUUGAGAGCAAUAAGGAUCAAUUCUGUGUAUCAAGUUUACAAGACCGAGAAAGGGAGGUUCAAAUUACUUUAUCUUUUUGUGUAAAUUGGUUUGGUUAAGGGUGUAAGUGACAACAGUCUUGUUCAUUUGUGUUUCAGGAUUGAAACAUUAAGCUUUAUGAUGAGAUCGAGCUAGUUGACGGCCACAUUUUGAUAUAGUGAAGUGCUGCAGACCGUACCAAGAAAGUAGUAUAGCUUUUGUUUUUUAUUUUCCUUGCAUUUGAUUUGUAAUGGGUUUGUGUCAGCCCAUUGUUACUCUUAGUUUUAGCUUUGGUUUGUAAAAGGCCUUUUUAUAAAGUCCGUUAUGCUUGGCAAUUUUGAUUGUUCUUUUUAAAUUUGACAUAGCUAGACACGUGUCUUGUUAGCCAAAGUUACAAGCCUUACUAUAGGAGUAGAAUUUUAUAUUGUUUGAUUGUCUUUUGUAUUUUGUGAUCAUGUUUUAGGGGUCAUUAGAGUUUGCUAAUUGUUUGUGUUUGUUUGUUAGUUGAAUCUUUUGAUUUUAAAAGUAAUUUUAUUUUAAAGGGUAUGUGUUUGUGUGGGUGUGUUCAUGCAUGUGUGUCUAUGGUUGUAAGAGUGUGGGAGUGUGUUUGAGUGGGUGUGUGUCUAUGUUUGCGCGGAU